rnacentral:rRNA from 12 species
UUGGCACCUCGAUGUCGGCUCAUCACAUCCUGGAGCUGUAGGCGGUUCCAAGGGUUCGGCUGUUCGCCGAUUAAAGUGGUACGUGAGCUGGGUUUAGAACGUUGUGAAACAGUUCGGUCCCUAUCUACCACGACAAGGAUUGCGGGUGGCCACCCUAGUACGGGAGGAUCGGGUGGCACUGGCCAAUGGUGACCAGUUGUUUUUCCAUGUAAAAUAAGCAUCGCUGGAUAGCUACGCCAGGAGGUAUAACUGCUGAAUGCAUAUAAAGCGGGAAGACCGCCCCAAAAUAUCUUAUAAAAGUAGAACAUGACUACAUAGGCGAGAUUGUUUUAGGCUGUAAGGUCGUGCAAUCCGUACUAAUU